UACCCACAUUCAUAUAUAUUCACACAGAUUCUGGACCUUGCAAUAAUUUGAAUUCCAAAAUUCAAGUUCCCUGUUCUGUUCAAGUGUUCUACCCAGACAAUCAUGCCCCUCUCCCCACCCUCUACUCCAGAAUUCUGAGCCCUAGCUCAGUGGGUUCCUUGGGAAGAUAGCAUGGCCAUUUUUUGCUGGCUGAAUAGGCCUGAGGAGAUGAAGAGAAGGUCAAGAUUUGUGGCACAAAAGAGGGACCGGGGACACACAAUUCAAAUGGGCUUUAUAUUGCAGACAUCAUAACUCAGAGGGAUCAGAGGAGAAAGACAGCAGUGAAGGAAAGGAGCUGACUGAAUUCUCUCCAACUCUGUAAAGAUGUGAGGAGGUGGUAUGUCUGGAAGCCAUGAACAUCCCUAAAGCAUCACCCUACCUAACCCCAGGACAUAGAUUGAGUUUUCUGCAGUACAUGGCAAGGACUGGCCCUGUAUUUCGUCUAUUCCUUCUGGAAGCUGAAAUAAUAAACCAUUGUGAGGA